UACGGAGGGUGCGAGCGUUGUCCGGAAUCAUUGGGCGUAAAGGGCGCGUAGGUGGCCCGGUGAGUCUUUGGUGAAAGCGCGGGGCUCAACCCUGCGUCGGCCAGGGAUACUGCCGCGGCUCGAGCACUGUAGAGGCAGGCGGAAUUCCGGGUGUAGCGGUGGAAUGCGUAGAGAUCCGGAAGAACACCGGUGGCGAAGGCGGCCUGCUGGGCAGUGGCUGACGCUCAACUGCGAAAGCGUGGGGAGCAAACAGG
rnacentral:rRNA from 1 species